rnacentral:lncRNA from 1 species
UUCACCUGUCAUGGUAAGUCAGUAUUAGCUACUUCACCUGUCAUGUUAGGUCAGUGAUAACUACUUCACAUGUCAUGUUAGGUUUAGGUCAGUAUUAGCUAUUUCACCUGUCAUGGUAAGUCAGUAUUAGCUACUUCACCUGUCAUGUUAGGUCAAUGAUAACUACUUCACAUGUCAUGUUAGGUUUAGGUAAGUAUUAGCUACUUCACCUGUCAUGUUAGGUCAGUGAUAACUACUUCACAUGUCAUGUUAGGUUUAGGUCAGUAUUAGAUACUUCACCUGUCAUGUUAGGUCAG